rnacentral:rRNA from 1 species
GAUCAAGUGACAGAAGGCGCACGGUGGAUGCCUAGGCACAGGCCGGCUAUGAAGGACGUGGUCAGCUGCGAAAAGCCGCGGGGAGCCGCACGCAGGCGUUGAUCCGCGGGUGUCCGAAUGGGGCAACCCGGCCGUCCGAGAGGGCGGUCACCCGGGGCUGAAACGAUAGGCCUCGAGGAGCGAACCCGGGGAACUGAAACAUCUCAGUACCCGGAGGAAGAGGAAACAACAAGUGAUUCCCCCAGUAGCGGCGAGCGAACGGGGAGGAGCCCAAACCAUGGGGGCCGAGAAGGCGGCAGCCGUUGCCCUUGUGGGGUUGGAGGACAGAGCCGGGCGGAUCUGCCGAUCUGCCGGAUCCGUGGAGUCUGAAGCCGAGCCGUCUGGAAAGGCGGACCGAAGAGGGUGAGAGUCCCGUAGGCGUAAGGGCUGUGGGGAUUUGGGCUUUGAUCCUGAGUAGGCCGGGACACGAGAAAUCCUGGUUGAAGCAGGCAGGACCAUCUGCCAAGGCGAAAUACGAGCCUGUGACCGAUAGCGAACGAGUACCGUGAGGGAAAGGUGAAAAGCACGCCGGGAGGCGGGUGAAAGAGACCCUGAAACCGUGUGCCUACAAGCGGUGGGAGGAGGGGUCAUCUCUUCGGAGGUGGCGACUCUGACCGCGUGCCUUUUGCAUUAUGAUCCGGCGAGUUCGACCUCACUGGCGAGGCUAAGCCGUUCAGCGGCGGAGCCGGAGCGAAAGCGAGUCCGAAAUGGGCGUUGAGUCGGUGGGGCGAGACCCGAAACCAGCGUGAUCUAUCCAUGGCCAGGCUGAAGCGAGGGUAAUGCCUCGUGGAGGGCCGAACCGGUGUGGGUUGAAAACCGCUCGGAUGAGCUGUGGAUAGGGGUGAAAGGCCAAUCAAACCUGGAGAUAGCUGGUUCUCCCCGAAACGUAUUUUGGUACGGCCCCCGGGUGGAGACGGCGGGAGGUAGAGCACUGGAUGGGCUAGGGUCCUUGGCGGGAUACCAACCCCAACCAAACUCCGAAUGCCUGCCUGUUGGUCCCGGGGAGACAGUGUGCGGGCGAUAAUGUUCGUACGCGAGAGGGAAACAACCCAGACCCUCGGCUAAGGUCCCCAAGUGUUGGCUCAGUGAGAAAGGAUGUGGACUUGCCCAGACAGCUGGGAGGUUGGCUUAGAAGCAGCCAUCCUUGAAAGAGUGCGUAACAGCUCACCAGUCCAGCGAGUCUGCGCCGAUAAUGAACGGGACUCAAGCCAGCCACCGAAGCCAGGGGUGCAGGGAUUUCUACGGAAGUUCUUGUGCGGUAGGGGAGCGUUCCCUGUGCGCCGAAGCGGGGCCGGAAGGCCUGGACCCGGUAGGGUCCUCAGCCCGUGGAGCGCAGGGAAGUGAGAAUGCCGGAAUGAGUACGCGAGAAACGGGGUGAGAACCCCCGUCGCCGAAAGCCCGAGGGUUCCUGAGCCAUGUCGAUCAGCUCAGGGUCAGUCGGCCCCUAAGGCGAGGCCGAAAGGCGUAGCCGAUGGGAAACGGGUCAACAUUCCCGUACCCGGAUGUAGCUGUUCGAGCCCGAGGAGGGACGCAGAGGUGACAGGUCCGUCCGCCGAUGGACGUGCGGAUGCAAGGCCGGUAGGCCGUAGCCGGGGAGGCAAAUCCCCCUGGUCAGGCCGAGGGCCGAUGCCGAAGGGGUUUUCGGACCCCGUCAAGGGACUGUAAGCGGACUGCCGAGAAAAGCUUCGCGGGUGAGGCUGCGUUCGGACCGUACCGCAAACCGACACAGGUGGGCGAGGCGAGAAGCCUCAGGCGCUCGAGUGAUUCUUGGUCAAGGAACUCGGCAAAAUGUCCCCGUAACUUCGGGAGAAGGGGAGCCCCGCGUAGGUGAAGCGCUUCGCGCGCCGAGCCGAGAGGGGCCGCAGAGAAUCGGCCCAAGCGACUGUUUACUAAAAACACAGGUGUCUGCGAAGUCGGUAAGACGACGUAUAGGCACUGACGCCUGCCCGGUGCCGGAAGGUUAAGGGGAGGGGUUAGCGUCUUCGGACGCGAAGCUCCGAGCUGAAGCCCCGGUAAACGGCGGCCGUAACUAUAACGGUCCUAAGGUAGCGAAAUUCCUUGUCGGGUAAGUUCCGACCUGCACGAAUGGCGUAACGACUUGGGCGCUGUCUCGACCAAGAGCUCGGCGAAAUUGGAGUCUCGGUGAGGAUACCGAGUACCCGCGGCAGGACAAAAAGACCCCGUGCACCUUUACUAUACCCUGAUAUUGGGUCUGGGCACCGCUUGUGUAGGAUAGGUGGGAGGCAGGGAAGCGUCGGCGUCAGCCGGCGUGGAGCCAACCUUGAAAUACCACCCUGGCGAUGUCGGGAUUCUAACCGUGCGCCCUGAUCGGGCGUGGGGACCGUGUCAGGCGGGUAGUUUGACUGGGGCGGUCGCCUCCUAAAGCGUAACGGAGGCGCGCAAAGGUUCCCUCAGCGCGGUUGGUAAUCGCGCGUUGAGUGCAAAGGCAGAAGGGAGCUUGACUGCGAGAGGGACACCUCGAGCAGGUGCGAAAGCAGGCCUUAGUGAUCCGGCGGUUCCGCAUGGAAGGGCCGUCGCUCAUCGGAUAAAAGGUACGCCGGGGAUAACAGGCUUAUCACCCCCGAGAGUUCACAUCGACGGGGUGGUUUGGCACCUCGAUGUCGGCUUAUCGCAUCCUGGGGCUGGAGAAGGUCCCAAGGGUCGGGCUGUUCGCCCGUUAAAGCGGUACAUGAGCUGGGUUUAGAACGUCGUGAGACAGUUCGGUCUGUAUCCGCCGUGGGCGCUGGAGAUUUGAGGGGAGCCGCUCCUAGUACGAGAGGACCGGAGUGGACCGACCGCUGGUGUACCUGUUGUCCCGCCCGGGGCAUCGCAGGGUAGCCAGGUCGGGACGGGAUAACCGCUGAAAGCAUCUAAGUGGGAAGCCCACCCCGAGAUGAGAUCUCCCGCACCGCAAGGUGCCCGAAGGCCCGCAGGAGACCACUGCGUGGAUAGGCGGCAGGUGUAAGGCGCGUGAGCGCUUCAGCCGAGCCGUACUAAUCGGCCGAGAGGCUUGAUCCC